rnacentral:rRNA from 1 species
GAGGGGCAUCAGAUGUAGCAAUACAUGCUGGCGACCGGCGCACGGGUGAGUAACACGUAUCCACCUGCCUUUUACUCGGGGAUAGGCUUUCGAAAGAAAGAUUAAUACCCGAUGGUUCCGCAUGGGUAAAGAAUUUCGGUAAAAGAUGGGGAUGCGUUCCAUUAGGCAGUUGGCGGGGUAACGGCCCACCAAACCUUCGAUGGAUAGGGGUUCUGAGAGGAAGGUCCCCCACAUUGGAACUGAGACACGGUCCAAACUCCUACGGGAGGCAGCAGUGAGGAAUAUUGGUCAAUGGGCGGAAGCCUGAACCAGCCAAGUAGCGUGAAGGAUGACUGCCUAUGGGUUGUAAACUUCUUUUAUAGGGGAAUAAAUGAGCCACGUGUGGCUUUUUGUAUGUACCCUAUGAAUAAGGAUCGGCUAACUCCGUGCCAGCAGCCGCGGUAAUACGGAGGAUCCGAGCGUUAUCCGGAUUUAUUGGGUUUAAAGGGAGCGUAGGUGGACAUGUAAGUCAGUUGUGAAAGUUUGCGGCUCAACCGUAAAAUUGCAGUUGAUACUGUGUGUCUUGAGUACAGUAGAGGUGGGCGGAAUUCGUGGUGUAGCGGUGAAAUGCUUAGAUAUCACGAAGAACUCCGAUUGCGAAGGCAGCUCACUGGACUGUUACUGACACUGAGGC